CAUCAUCAGAUCCUGGAUUCCUGGAUGUUGCACCUAUUAUAUGCCACAAAAAGUUAAAUUAGUGCAGAAAUAUGGAGCCGCAAAGUAGUCCACUUUCCCUCACCUUGACAGCAACAUCAUUCUUAUCACCUCUCAAUCUUGCUCGAUGUACCUGGGCAAUUGAGGCAGAACCAAGAGGAUCCAUUUCAAAUCUUUCAAACAUUUCACCAAUACUUUUUCCCAACUCCUUCUCCAGCAUAAGUUGAAUGUCACCAAAGGGGGUUGCGGGAGCCCGAUCACAUAGGGUCACAAGCCUUUUCACCCAUGCUGCUGGGGCCAAGUCAGGCUUCCCAAUAAUUUGAG